UACGAAGGGGGCUAGCGUUGCUCGGAAUCACUGGGCGUAAAGCGCACGUAGGCGGCUUUCUAAGUCAGGGGUGAAAUCCUGGAGCUCAACUCCAGAACUGCCUUUGAUACUGGGAAGCUCGAGUUCGGAAGAGGUGAGUGGAACUCCGAGUGUAGAGGUGAAAUUCGUAGAUAUUCGGAAGAACACCAGUGGCGAAGGCGACCACCUGGACGGUGACUGACGCUGAGGUGCGAAAGCGUGGGGAGCAAACAGG
rnacentral:rRNA from 1 species